UACGAACUGUGCAAACGUUAUUCGGAAUCACUGGGCUUAAAGGGUGCGUAGGCGGUCAUGUAAGUAGGGUGUGAAAGCCCCCGGCUCAACCGGGGAAUGGCGCUCUAAACUGUGUGACUGGAGUGAGAUAGGGGUGUGCGGAACUUCCGGUGGAGCGGUGAAAUGUGUUGAUAUCGGAAGGAACGCCGGUGGCGAAAGCGGCACACUGGAUCUCAACUGACGCUGAGGCACGAAAGCCAGGGGAGCAAACGGG
rnacentral:rRNA from 2 species